GUGGGGUGAGAAGCAUGCUCACUCAACCAAUCACUUGGGGAAGGUCUGAGACAAGAGCAUCACUGCCACAGGGUAUCACCGGAUCUGGGUGAUGAGUACACGAGAGUAGAGCCAUUGUGAGUUGUCUUUACAGGAGAAACCAGCCAGUGCAGCUCUCCAGCACUACUGUGGAUGUGACCUCACUGGUUUGGAAACACUCAGGGCUGCAUAUGAGUGCAAUGUGUGAGUUGGAGUACACCUCCAGAACCCAAUUCAGACACUCUCUGCCCAC
rnacentral:RNase_P_RNA from 1 species